CCGGACGUAGCGCGGAGGCAGGCGCGGCGCCUUGCUCAGGCGCGUCACGCCGGUUCGCAUCCGGUCGUCCGGA
rnacentral:tRNA from 1 species